AUUGAGGCUGCAGGGGAAGAACCGCGUUUGGUAAUUCACGUCUAAACUCAACUGUUACAACUGCAAGCAAAAUGCAGACAGCAUCCAAGAACCUCACUCGUCUCGUCGAGAGGUGGAGGAUCUACAUGUCUUUCCUUCAUGACGAAGCAGCAGCUGGUGACACAACGCCGCCACCUGGUGGAGGACGCGUGUCACUACAGAUACUCACUCACACCCUGCGCGCACUGUAAACACACACCAGCCGGUGGAGGAGGGAGGUGGAUCGCGUGCACGGCACCAACCGAGCAGCGCGUGCACGGCACCAACCGAGCAGCGCGUGCACGGCACCAACCGAGCAGCGCGUGCACGUCUCAAAGGAUACUACGAGGCAGUUUUCUUCCCUUUGCAGAGUUUCUUGAAUGGCCACGGAUUGAUCCAUAGCGAGGCCUGCGGGGACAAGUUCGCAGACUCCGUAAUGCCCGAGGGGGGGGGGG